rnacentral:rRNA from 1 species
AGAGUUUGAUCAUGGCUCAGAAUCAACGCUGGCGGCGCGCCUAACACAUGCAAGUCGAACGAGAGAGUGGAGCAAUCCAUGAGUACAGUGGCGUACGGGUGAGUAACACGUGGGUAAUCUACCUUUUAGUGGGGAAUAACCAGGGGAAACUCUGGCUAAUACCGCAUAAGCCUGAGAAGGGAAAGCAGCAAUGCGCUGAAAGAGGAGCCCGCGGCCGAUUAGCUAGUUGGUGGGGUAAGAGCCCACCAAGGCAGAGAUCGGUAGCCGGCCUGAGAGGGCACACGGCCACACUGGCACUGAAACACGGGCCAGACUCCUACGGGAGGCAGCAGUGGGGAAUCUUGCACAAUGGGGGAAACCCUGAUGCAGCGACGCCGCGUGAGCGAUGAAGCCCUUCGGGGUGUAAAGCUCUUUCGUCAGGGACGAUAAUGACGGUACCUGGAGAAGCAGCUGCGGCUAACUACGUGCCAGCAGCCGCGGUAAUACGUAGGCAGCAAGCGUUGUUCGGAGUUACUGGGCGUAAAGGGUGUGUAGGCGGUUCUUUAAGUUUGGUGUGAAAUCUCCCGGCUCAACUGGGAGGGUGCGCCGAAUACUGAGGGACUAGAGUACGGGAGAGGAAAGUGGAAUUCCUGGUGUAGCGGUGAAAUGCGUAGAUAUCAGGAGGAACACCGGUGGUGUAGACGGCUUUCUGGACCGUAACUGACGCUGAGACACGAAAGCGUGGGUAGCAAACAGGAUUAGAUACCCUAGUAGUCC